CUACGGGACGCAGCAGUGAGGAAUAUUGCACAAUGGGGGGAACCCUGAUGCAGCAACGCCGCGUGGAGGAUGACGCAUUUCGGUGUGUAAACUCCUUUUAUAUGUCAAGAAAAUGACGGUAGCAUAUGAAUAAGCACCGGCUAACUCCGUGCCAGCAGCCGCGGUAAUACGGAGGGUGCAAGCGUUACUCGGAAUCACUGGGCGUAAAGGACGCUUAGGCGGGUUGGAAAGUCAGGUGUGAAAUCCUACAGCUUAACUGUAGAACUGCACUUGAAACUUUUAAUCUAGAGCAUGGGAGGGGGAGAUGGAAUUAGUGGUGUAGGGGUAAAAUCCGUAGAUAUCACUAGGAAUACCUAAAGCGAAGGCGAUCUCCUGGAACAUUACUGACGCUAAGGCGUGAAAGCGUGGGGAGCAAACAGGAUUAGAUACCCCUGUAGUC
rnacentral:rRNA from 1 species